GUAUUGUACACCUUAAAAUUAUAUAUUGCUGGAUGUAAAUUAUAUCUCAGUAAAACCAGAAGAAAAAUAAAUUCAAAAAAUGGCUGUGGCUGUAGUAAUGGAGAUGUACUCCAUUUCAGUGAGAACAUCAAAGACUGAAAGAUCCAUGAGGCAAUUUUUUUAAAUCAUCCAGGGAAGAGAUGACAAGCACCUAUGCUGAACACACAAAAAAAAUUUAAAAAUAUGUGUUAAUCAUGAUUCAGCAUGAAAUUUGUUUUGUGCAUAUAUAUGUGUAUAUNNNUAUAUAUAUAUAUGCAUGUGUGUAUAUCACAAGUGUAUGCAACAUAUUUAUAAUUUAGUAUAAAUAUAUACACAUUUAACACAUUUCAGAAAAUUUAUGCCAAAUACUAUCUAUUCUCAUUUCAUUUCUCCAAAACAGUAGAGAAACUGAGCUUUCCCUUAAGAGGAGGCAAUAUGCCAGGAGCCGGAAAUUCAAAAUGACAAGGCUUCUAACUUCUUGGAACAUACAGUCUAAUGUUAAAGAUGGUGUCUAACAAUAAUAAGCAGCCUCUUACCCCCAGCACCUUCUUCACAUAGCAUUGUUUGGGUGGGGAGUUUCCUUCUCCCUUUUAGACUAGAGCAUCAAAAUCUGGGGGCUUACUUCCAUUUAAAAUCUUCAAGUCACGACACGUUAUAUAGUUCCAACUUUAUGAAAACCUAACUAGAGGAGGUAAAAAAUCUCUCUUCCAUUCUGCUACCUCCAAAAGAUCACUCCCAGGUUUCUGACUGAGUUCUUGAGCCUGCUUGUCCAGCAAGCUCUCUUUGGACACCUGCUUUCAACAUCACCACAUUUGGUUCUUGGUAGAUAAGGACACACAAAGGCCCCACUGUGACCUCAAGGAGCUAAGGAUAGGGAACACAAAUAGCUUAAUGUCUAUAAUUUUAUGAUGUUUCCAGGAUUGCCAUGAAGUGUGUUUGGGGCUUCCUGUUCUGAGAGAGUACAGAGGGCUUUCCAGAUGGAUAAAGUUCUAGGGGCUGGGAAGAGAGAAACUUCCAGUAGCAAGAAGGCUCAAGGGAGUAAGGGCUGAGGAGUGGAGCGGGAGCCUGAUUAUGGAAAGCCGAACAGUCAGAGUUUGGAUUUUACCUUAAUGGGAUACCAAGGGAGAUUGAAACUAGUGCAGAAUUCAGAAUGAGAGCUGAAAGAGAAAUUUGCUAAAAUAAGAGCAAUGAUAGUCCAACUUCUGGCGAAGUCUGUUCUCCUUUUACCCCUACCCCUCCAGGUCAUACCACAAACUUUGCAUAUACAAGGGGCUCAAUAUUUGCUAAAUUAACUUGGAUCAGAGCAGAGGAAUUGUUGCCCCUAUAUGUGUAGUAGUAGUAGUAAUAAUAAUAAUAAUAAUAAUAAUAAAUAUAUCACUACAAAUUGCA
rnacentral:lncRNA from 1 species